CUUGUCUGGGUCAUCACUGCCCCCUUCCCCAGAUGCAACUCCUGCUCUGCCCCACUGCUGUGCCCCACAUUCUCACCAUAGUGUGCCUGCAGCAUCUCAGCGCACAGUUUCCUCUGGAGAACCCGGUAUUUCCGCUCCAGCGCUGCCAGCACCCCGGAAGCCCAUUGCACUGGGAGCAGGUCUCUGGCCUGCCGCCUGAAGCCACCGCCUCACCACGUCUUGAAGGGGAACAGUUAGGAUUACCCCAAAAACCCUAAAACUGUUUGUGAAUCCCCCCCCUCAGCCAGGCUUCAAAAGCCUCGCCUCAAGCAUUUUUAAAAACUGCAUUUCCUCUGAGGCAAAAAGCAUUAGCUAAGCAUAUUCCUCUUGCUGCAACUAAAAUACUGUAACAAAAGGUAGGGAACGGAGUCGAUUGUUUUCUCAGAGCCUUUGGCCUUGCUUAGACUAGAUUGCAACUUGCUUCUGUCCGGGAACCAUGCCAAAGCACAAGAAUGAAACAUAACUGGAACACUCUGAAACCCCCCUUUCCUGGAAAGAGCCCAAAAAUGGUCCCAAGACAGGAACUUUCUGUUCAUGCUCAGGAGACACAUGGGAGGAGAAAGGGGGAGGGAACUGGAAGGGGGAUAUAUACUCUGUGCAAACGCAUGUGAACUCGUGCUUGUUUUUGUGAGUUAUCACACUUGCUCCUCUGCCCCCCCCCCCCGGAUGGCAGAAUAAAAGCUCUUUCUCUGGAUUUAAUCCCUUGGUGUCGUUUGGCUCCUUUCGUCCCUGCUCGGGUGCAACAUUUUCCUAUCCAUGGUUAAAAGGGCCUAGAAAGGCUACAGUCUCCUGCGUGGGACAGUCUCCUGUCUCCUCUAUUUCCGCGGCCCAACCGUUACCUCGAUGUCUCUCCAGGAGAAGCUGGGUCCCCGGCUCCUGAGGAAGUCUUGCCAGGCCUCGCCUGCAGGGUGGGCGUGCGGCACCUGGGCCAGGAGCAGCUCCACAUCGCGGGCGGAGAGGUAGCCAUCGUGGUCGGAGUCCAGGAGUUGAAAAUCCCAGUGCAGCUAGGGAAGGGUAUCUCAUAUAGAUAUCUAUGUACAGUCACACCUCGGGUUACAGACGCUUCAGGUUGCGUUUUUUCGGGUGGCAGACCGCCGAAACCCGGAAGUACCGGAACAGGUUACCGUAUUUUUCGCUCCAUAAGAUGCACCUGACCAUAAGACGCACCUAGUUUUUAGAGGAGGAAAGGGGGAAAGCCCCAUUUUUGGGGGAUCAGCUCCCAGUUGUGCAGCUUCUUUUGCAAAGGGGAAAAGGCCCUUUUUUGAGGAUCAGCUCAAAGUUGUUGAGCUUACUUUGCAAAGGGAAAAAAUCCCGUUUUUAUGGGGUUCAACUCACAGUUCUGCAGCUUCUUUAGGAAAGGAAAGGGAGCCGUUUCUACAGUUUCCAGACAGAUAAUCUAAUCAGCCAGUCCCAUGACGCUGGGGAAACAAACGGCCUCCGUCUGCAGAACAUUCAACAAUGGAGGCCUGGGCAAAGGGCCGGAAAGGGAGCCAGCGAACAGCCUCACAUUCGCUCCAUAAGACACACAGACAUUUCCCUUUACUUUUUAGGAGGAAAAAAGUGCGUCUUAUGGAGUGAAAAAUAUGGUGCUUCCAGGUUUUGGUGGUUGCACAUGCGCAGGAGCGUGCUCUGGUCCAUGGGGUCACGAAGAGUCGGACACGACUAAACGACUAAACAACAACAACAAAGCAUUUAGCCUCACCCUAACACGUGGUGCUUGUAGGAGUAGCAGUUCUUCAUUUCUACUUUCCUUCCGCUACAGGGGGUGCCU
ensembl:lncRNA